rnacentral:rRNA from 1 species
AUUGAACGCUGGCGGCAGGCUUAACACAUGCAAGUCGAGCGGGGGAAGGUAGCUUGCUACCGGACCUAGCGGCGGACGGGUGAGUAAUGCUUAGGAAUCUGCCUAUUAGUGGGGGACAACAUCUCGAAAGGGAUGCUAAUACCGCAUACGUCCUACGGGAGAAAGCGGGGGACCUUCGGACCUUGCGCUAAUAGAUGAGCCUAAGUCGGAUUAGCUAGUUGGUGGGGUAAAGGCCUACCAAGGCGACGAUCUGUAGCGGGUCUGAGAGGAUGAUCCGCCACACUGGGACUGAGACACGGCCCAGACUCCUACGGGAGGCAGCAGUGGGGAAUAUUGGACAAUGGGGGGAACCCUGAUCCAGCCAUGCCGCGUGUGUGAAGAAGGCCUUAUGGUUGUAAAGCACUUUAAGCGAGGAGGAGGCUACUCUAGUUAAUACCUAGGGAUAGUGGACGUUACUCGCAGAAUAAGCACCGGCUAACUCUGUGCCAGCCGCCGCAGUAA